GAUAGUUAUUAUUGUUUAUUUAACUUCUCUAAGUUUGAUUGUUUAACAUAAAAUUCAUUUGAGGGGCAUCAAUUUAUAUUUGGUUCUUUCAUCUUCUCCCAUUCAACCCCUCUUCAUUUUUAUCUCCUAAAGAGCCCCUCUUCAUACCAUAGCACCAGACCACCACUUCAUGACCAUCGGUCUCCCACAAGAUCCACAGCAUCAAACAAGUUGUCUCCUCCAUAAGUCCGGUCAUUCGAAGAGAAUUUCAAGUUCUCGUUAUAUUGGUGUUUGUGCAACAUCAAGAAUGUGGCAGAUUUUGCUUCAGUGCAGCCAAGGCUUAUAUGCAGACUAGUUACCAUAAAACGAAAAGAAAAAAGGGCUUGUUAGCACAUGACAAGAUCGUUAAAGAUUCAAUUUCUGGGGGCAUAAUCUUCCAUCCAGACUCACAAAUAAGGGGGAGAAUACAACUCGUCUCGCAAGUGAAUGAGAGUUACAAUGCCUACGUACAUGAGAGUUAAAAAGCUGUGAAAAAGGAGGCAAAGUACUGCACAUCAUUCGCAAUAUGACCAAAUUGUGCAAGGGAACUGCAGCCACUCUCAGAGCAUUGAUGAGGAACUAAGAGUCUCCUUCCAAGAUAACCCAGUCGACACCUAUUUCCAUUGCAAAUUCCAGUGCUUGUCUUGCUGCCAAUGCCUCGACCUCAAUGACCGUGAAAGCAGGGGCGGAACUGUGUGUA